GUAGGUGGCAAGCGUUGUCCGGAUUUACUGGGCGUAAAGAGCGCGCAGGCGGUCGAGUAAGUCGAAUGUGAAAGCCCCCGGCUCAACUGGGGAUCGUCAUUCGAUACUGUUCGACUUGAAGAUGGGAGAGGGAAGCGGAAUUUCAGGUGUAGUGGUGAAAUGCGUAGAUAUCUGAAGGAACACCAGUGGCGAAGGCGGCUUUCUGGCCCACUCUUGACGCUGAGGCGCGAAAGCUAGGGGAGCGGGACGGGGGAUUAGAUACCCCGGUAGUCCUAGCUGUAAACGAUGAACACUAGAUGUUGGUGGUAUCAACCCCGCCCAGUGUCGUAGCUAACGCAUUAAGUGUUCCGCCUGGGGAUACGGCCGCAAGGCUA
rnacentral:rRNA from 1 species